rnacentral:rRNA from 1 species
CGAACGCUGGCGGCGCGUCUUAAGCAUGCAAGUCGAGCGGUAAGAUUGGUGCUUGCACUAAUCCUAGAGCGGCGGACUGGUGAGUAACGCGUGGGUGACGUACCUCUGUGACGGGGACAGCUCCUAGAAAUAGGAGAUAAUACCGGAUACGCUGCAUGUUGUCAGAGGACAUGCAGGAAAGGAUCUUUUGAUUCGCACAGAGAGCGGCCCGCGUACUAUUAGCUGGUUGGUGGGGUAACGGCCCACCAAGGCGACGAUAGUUACCCGGCCUAAGAGGGUGAUCGGGCACAUUGGACUGAGAUACGGCCCAGACUCCUACGGGAGGCAGCAGCUAAGAAUAUUCCGCAAUGGACGAAAGUCUGACGGAGCGACGCCGCGUGGAUGAUGAAGGCCGGAAGGUUUGUAAAAUCCUUUUAUGACUGAGGAAUAAGUGAAGUGAGAGAAACGCUUCAUGGUGACUGUAGGUCAUGAAUAAGCAACGGCUAAUUACGUGCCAGCAGCUGC